AUUGAACGCUGGCGGCAGGCUUAACACAUGCAAGUCGAGCGGAGAUAAGGUGCUUGCACCUUAUCUUAGCGGCGGACGGGUGAGUAAUGCUUAGGAAUCUGCCUAUUAGUGGGGGACAACAUUCCGAAAGGAAUGCUAAUACCGCAUACGUCCUACGGGAGAAAGCAGGGGAUCUUCGGACCUUGCGCUAAUAGAUGAGCCUAAGUCGGAUUAGCUAGUUGGUGGGGUAAAGGCCUACCAAGGCGACGAUCUGUAGCGGGUCUGAGAGGAUGAUCCGCCACACUGGGACUGAGACACGGCCCAGACUCCUACGGGAGGCAGCAGUGGGGAAUAUUGGACAAUGGGGGGAACCCUGAUCCAGCCAUGCCGCGUGUGUGAAGAAGGCCUUAUGGUUGUAAAGCAUUUUAAGCGAGGAGGAGGCUACUGAGACUAAUACUCUUGGAUAGUGGACGUUACUCGCAGAAUAAGCACCGGCUAACUCUGUGCCAGCAGCCGCCGUAAAAC
rnacentral:rRNA from 1 species